AUUGAACGCUGGCGGAAUGCUUUACACAUGCAAGUCGAACGGCAGCACGGGUGCUUGCACCUGGUGGCGAGUGGCGAACGGGUGAGUAAUGCACCGGAACGUAUCCAAUAAUGGGGGAUAACGCACCGAAAGGUGUGCUAAUACCGCAUACGCCCUGAGGGGGAAAGCGGGGGAUCGUAAGACCUCGCGUUAAUGGAGCGGCCGAUGCCGGAUUAGCUAGUUGGUGAGGUAAAGGCUCACCAAGGCGACGAUCCGUAGCUGGUCUGAGAGGACGACCAGCCACACUGGAACUGAGACACGGUCCAGACUCCUACGGGAGGCAGCAGUGGGGAAUUUUGGACAAUGGGCGCAAGCCUGAUCCAGCCAUUCCGCGUGAGUGAAGAAGG
rnacentral:rRNA from 1 species